UACGUAGGGCGCAAGCGUUGUCCGGAAUUAUUGGGCGUAAAGAGCUCGUAGGCGGUCUGUCGCGUCGAAAGUGAAAACCCAGGGCUUAACCCUGGGCCUGCUUCCGAUACGGGCAGACUAGAGGUAUGCAGGGGAGAACGGAAUUCCUGGUGUAGCGGUGAAAUGCGCAGAUAUCAGGAGGAACACCGGUGGCGAAGGCGGUUCUCUGGGCAUUACCUGACGCUGAGGAGCGAAAGUGUGGGGAGCGAACAGG
rnacentral:rRNA from 1 species